UUUCCGUAGGUGAACCUGCGGAAGGAUCAUUAUUGUAUAACCGAGGUGCGAGGGCCGGCGCUGACCCGAAAGGUCGUGCACGCCCGAGUGCCCUCACACACAUCCAUCUCACCCCUAUGUGCACCACCGCGUGGGUCCCCCUUUGGCUUGUUCGGAGGGGGGCUUACGUUUUCACACAAACUUUGUAUGCAGUGUAGAAUGUAUUUUUUGUUUUUGCGAUCACGCAAUCAAUACAACUUUCAACAACGGAUCUCUUGGCUCUC
rnacentral:misc_RNA from 1 species